UACGGAGGAUCAAAGCGUUAUCCGGAUUUAUUGGGUUUAAAGGGUGCGUAGGUGGCCUGUUAAGUCAGGGGUGAAAGACGGUAGCUCAACUAUCGCAGUGCCCUUGAUACUGAUGGGCUUGAAUGAACUAGAGGUAGGCGGAAUGUGACAAGUAGCGGUGAAAUGCAUAGAUAUGUCACAGAACACCAAUUGCGAAGGCAGCUUACUAUGGUUUUAUUGACACUGAGGCACGAAAGCGUGGGGAUCAAACAGG
rnacentral:rRNA from 1 species